UAGAAGGAGCGACGCCGCGUGGAGGAUGAAGGUCUUCGGAUUGUAAACUCCUGUCAUUGGUGAACAAGGCCAUCGGUUAACUGCCGUUUGGUUUAAUAGUAGCCGAAGAGGAAGAGACGGCUAACUCUGUGCCAGCAGCCGCGGUAAUACAGAGGUCUCAAGCGUUGUUCGGAUUCAUUGGGCGUAAAGGGUGCGUAGGCGGCGAGGCAAGUCUGGUGUGAAAUCCCGGGGCUCAACCCCGGAACUGCACUGGAUACUGCUUUGCUAGAGUACUGGAGAGGGAACUGGAAUUUACGGUGUAGCAGUGAAAUGCGUAGAUAUCGUAAGGAAGACCAGCGGCGAAGGCGAGUUCCUGGACAGUUACUGACGCUGGGGCACGAAGGCCAGGGGAGCAAACGGGAUUAGAUACCCCGGUAGUCCUGGCAGUAAACGGUGUGCGUUUGGUGCGGGAGGAUUCGACCCCUUCCGUGCCGGAGCUAACGCGUUAAACGCACCGCCUGGGGAGUACGGUCGCAAGAUUA
rnacentral:rRNA from 1 species